UCUACUAAAGGAAAACAGCUUUCCACUGAUCUUAGGAAUCAAACUCCU
rnacentral:tRNA from 1 species